AGCCCUUUAAGCCUGGGCUCAUCGACUGUGGAACAGGGGUAAUAGUAGCGCCCAUGCUUUAGGGCUGUCUUGGGGAGUAGCUUAGUCAAUGUGCGCAGAGCAUAUGCCCAGCUCAUGGCGGGUUUGCCGUUUUAUGUUCCCCUAAAGCCACAUCACCUGCUCGCGCCUCAGUUUUUUCAUCUGCCAAAUGGGGACGCUGUCUACUAAGCACUUAUUUGGGGCCAGGCACCUGUCAGUCAGGAUUUCAUUUCAUAUUCACGGCAACCAAAGAGGUCAGUCCUGAUAGUCCCAUUCUCUGGAUAAGGAAACGAAGACACAAAGAAGUGAACUGAUGUGUCUGUGGUUUCCUGGCUAGUGACCAGGACACGCCAGCUCCGACUCAACUGUGAGAUACCUGAGCCUGUGGCCCCCCAGCGUGCCUGUCCACCUGCAGGUCUCUGCCCAGGAAAUCCUUUAGGGCUGAUAAACUUGCCUAGGACUUUGAGGUCUGGGGCCUGCCCCAGCUGGUGACAUCCCUCUGUGCCCUGCCCUGGUAGGGAGCUCCAGUCCUACUUGGGCUGGGGGGAGGCUGGCAGGCCCCAGGCCAUGUGGGAAGGCCAUUAGCUGGCACUGGAGCCGAGUGCCGGUAAUGACCCCGUUUUCAUAUGGAGGCAGCUCCUGGUCUCCCUACGCGCGAAUCCGCUCCCGGAGCUCCCACUCCAGAAGGAGGCAGCAGCAGGUUAUGUAAUCGGGGGUGGUUACGUAAGGAUGGAGCAGGCUUGGUGGGAUUGGGGGAGCAGGCAGCUCCCAGGCCUCAGCAGAAGCCCCCAGCCAGGUUCCUUCUUUCUCCGGCACUGCUCAGCUGCCCACGUGGGAAUGAGAACUGCGGCCAGUGGGGGCAGGAGUCAGCAGGGCGAGGCGGUGGUCUGCAACAGGGGCAUUGGCCGGGAGGACGGGAGCCCUGGCCUGGGUCCUAGCUCUCGUAUGCCUUGGGUGAAUCCCUUCCUCUCCCUGGGCCUCAGUUUCCCUUUCUGGAAAAUGGAGGGCGGUGGCCUGGGUACACGCUAGGGGCCCUCUCAGUUCCAGGGCUGCCGUGUUUCUCUCACCCUGCAGAGGGAGAUCCCAACUUCCAGGUUCUGACUCUUACUCUGUUCCUGCUCGCUGGAGCAGGGCACACGCCCUCUCCGGACCCUGGUUUGCCUGUGAGUCUAGCAGGGAGGACGGGCUCCUUUGUCAGCGGCAUUGGCGCAAGAUGUGCCUGGACUUUGGGGGUCUGGAGGUGGCGACAGAGUGGAGCGAGGGCGUCGUCCCUUGCUCUCUCUUUCCCUUCCUGCUCGGGUUCUAGCAGAGCCUGCCACACAUCGUAACAGCAGUGACAACAAAGACAGGCACCACUGAUCCAGCACGUUCUCAGGCCCUGUGCCAAGCCCUCUGCAGAUGAGGAAACGGAGGCUCAGAGAGGUUCAAUGGCACGUCCAGGGUUGCCCAGCUGGUGUGGAUGAGGAAGCUGCAGCAGGGGGCAGGUCAGAAAACGUUCUCCCUGGGUGGAGGCCCCGGCUCGGGCUCUGGAACAGCUCCCUCCAUGGCCCCCCUCACUAAGGCUGACAGCCAGUGUCUCACAGUGGGACAGACCUGGAAUUGAGCUAUGUGAUCCUGGGGCUUUGAUCAGGGAAGCAGACUAUCGCUGGCACAGCCUUGGUGCUAAGGUAUUCCCCACGGAAGCAAAGCGGCGCAGCACCCACCACUGCACACGUGACAGUAAUGUGUUAAUAGUAAAUGGCGGGUGAUGAGUGAACAGGCCUCAUUUAGACCUGGAAGAAGACUGCCCUGUGGUACCACCCGGGGUAGGGGCGACACACAACCCCAAGGAAGGUACCCUCAUUGGGGUGGGGUUGGCGGAGGUCUGAGUGGGAUGGGACAAGCGGAAGAGGGACUGGCCAUUUGUAUAAAUGUGCAAAUCGAAACACGUGUAGAUGCCAAUGUGGAGGAAUGCAGGCCUGCAUUUUUCUUGCUGAUCCUGCUCAGGUUCCUGAAACUAAUAAGUAGUUGGUUUAUCACUCCACGCCUAACACAGUGCCUGGCUCACAGGAGGUGCUCAAUAAAUAUUUGUCAAAAGAAUGAAUAAGUGAAUGAAUGAGUGUUUAUCCAUGUUGCAUUGCUUAAUUUCACUAGAUGUCACGGACUAGAGUUCCCUGUGAUGGGGAAAAGGUGGGGGCCUACCCUCCUGGGGCUCACCCUCGUGGGGCUCUAGAUAAGUAGCCUGUAAGGAACCCUCAAGGUAGUGGCGCUAGGUCUUCAUGCUCAGAGGAGAAGGUGCAUAGAGAGGGAAGAUAAAAUCUGGGAGUCAACAGUUCAUCCACCCAUUGAC